rnacentral:rRNA from 1 species
GUGUCAGCCGCCGCGGUAAUACGUAGGUGGCAAGCGUUGUCCGGAAUUAUUGGGCGUAAAGGGCGUGUAGGUGGGUAAUUAAGUCGUGUGUCUAAGUGCGGAGCUCAACUCCGUAUGGGCGCAGGAAACUGAUUAUCUUGAGUGCAGGAGAGGAAAGUGGAAUUCCCAGUGUAGCGGUGAAAUGCGUAGAUAUUGGGAGGAACACCAGUGGCGAAGGCGACUUUCUGGACUGUGUCUGACACUGAGGCGCGAAAGCUAGGGGAGCGAACGGGAUUAGAUACCCCGGUAGUCCUAGCCGUAAACGAUGGGUACUAGGUGUAGAGGGUAUCGACCCCUUCUGUGCCGCAAGCAAACGCUAUAAGUACCCCGCCUGGGGAGUACGGCCGCAAGGUUGAA